rnacentral:rRNA from 1 species
UACGUAGGGGGCAAGCGUUGUCCGGAUUUAUUGGGCGUAAAGAGCGUGUAGGCGGCUUCACAGGUCCGCUGUGAAAACUCGGGGCUCAACCUCGAGCUGUCGGUGGAAACCGUGUGGCUAGAGUCCGGAAGAGGAGAGUGGAAUUCCCGGUGUAGCGGUGAAAUGCGCAGAUAUCGGGAAGAACACCCGUGGCGAAGGCGGCUCUCUGGGACGGUACUGACGCUGAGACGCGAAAGCGUGGGGAGCGAACAGG